ACUCCUACGGGAGGCAGCAGUGAGGAAUAUUGCGCAAUGGAGGCAACUCUGACGCAGCCAUGCCGCGUGCAGGAAGACGGCCUACGGGUUGUAAACUGCUUUUAUCCGGGAAGAAUCCCAGUUCGUGAACUGGGUUGACGGUACCGGAGGAAUAAGCACCGGCUAACUCCGUGCCAGCAGCCGCGGUAAUACGGAGGGUGCAAGCGUUAUCCGGAUUCAUUGGGUUUAAAGGGUGCGUAGGCGGAACGGUAAGUCAGUGGUGAAAUCCUGCAGCUUAACUGUAGAACUGCCAUUGAUACUGUCGUUCUUGAGUGCGCUUGACGUGGGGCGGAAUGUGCCGUGUAGCGGUGAAAUGCUUAGAUAUGGCACAGAACACCAAUUGCGAAGGCAGCUCACGAAAGCGAAACUGCGCUGAGGCACGAAAGCGUGGGGAUCGAACAGGGAUUAUAUACCCUGGGUAGGCUCUGCU
rnacentral:rRNA from 1 species